rnacentral:lncRNA from 1 species
GGCGCUCCCAGGGCGGGAGGCUCUGCGCGCGUCCGCUCUUGGGGCCACCCGUUCCAGAGCCACUCGCCAGGGCCAACCCGGGGCUCGAGACCCCGAGCUCGGGUGCGAGCAGGAUGCGGCUCCCCGGGGACGGUUGGCGCGGGUAGGAGUCCCGAAGCCCGACCUUACCUCUGCUUCAUGCUGCAGUGUCCCUCAGCGCUGCCGUCCCAGUGGCCGGUCCGUGCCGCCCUGUCCCACAGGCCCGGCGACCGUGGAGAUUUAGGUUGCCACCGGUCUGCUCCGGGCCCCAGAGCUUCUUCAGUACUUGCUGUCUAUAGUAAGCAUCUCAAACUUUAAUGUGCAUAUGGAUCACCUGGGAAUCUUGUCAAAAUGCAGCUUCCAGGCUUCCAAGCAGAGCCUGCUGAAUCAAAGUUGGAUUUCAGGAAGAUCACGGAGUUCAGUGAGCACCCAACACCUCUAUCAGACAGACUGUGGGCAGUGCCUUCACGGAGAGAAUACAGCAGGACGACUGCGAGUGCAGGGCUGGUGCAGAGUGCGGGCCCGGAUUCAAAUUCCACUAAGUGAUGUGGACCUGGCAAGCUCAUGUCGUCCCUCUGCCCUCAGUCCUCUGCACUGUCAUAAUGAAAUUUUAGCAAUACUUUUCAGGCCCUACUUCUUAAUAUCACAGUAUAGGGCUAAAAAAUCACUAAAUACAGGAAAAUCUUAAGAGAAGACUGGUACUUCAGUAGUGUUCUCUAAGUGUUUACUACAUGCCAGGAGGAAUAAGCUGGACACUUAGUAGUGGCUGAAUAUGGAGAGGGUGCUUGGAUGGCUCCGGGGCAGUGGCGCAUGGUUUCCUGUUUGGCUUUUCUGUGGGCCUGAUGCCUUAUGGCUUAUGGAGAACGUCGGCCCUGCCGGGACAGCAGAGGAGGGGCUGUGGCUGAGAUUUUACACUUGAGAGUGUUGGCAUUCAGCGAUGGUGAUGAGCAGAACCCCAACCCCAGUGAGGAAGGAUCUGAGAUGGGAAAUGUAUUUGGUUCCCUAGAGACAGAGAUUCCUGAACAACUGACACCUCUACAUCACGCCCUGUGCCAGAGACCCAAGAGACCCCCUCACUGUCUUUCUCCAGUCCUCCUAGCCCGAGGUGUGUGGGUGGACAAAGGUGAUGCUCUGGAGGAGAUGCCUGAGACAAGGACCGGUCCUUAAUGAUAAAGAAUUCUCCUUCCUCUUUCAGAUCCUUGACCCCCCCCACUCAAUAUGACAGUUUAUUUUAAAGGCUGUUAUCUCUGUGGCCUUCCUCCCUUCACCCUGCCAGCUGCCUGUCAGUGACUGUCUCCUCCAGUGACUACACUGAGGGACCAGGGUCUCCUUGCCUCCCAAGGCUGCUCAGACCUUCUGACACUGCAAAAUGCUUGUCAAAAGAUGGGUCUGCAAAGAGUAACUUCCCUUUCACUGAUCAAACCUGAAUAUGCAAGCUACUUUGAAUUAACUGGAAAAGUGGCCAUGUGGGCUGAUGCUUUGGUGGUUUAAUGAAUUAAGUCUGCCACCUCCACUGCCUCCUUGACUAUUGAUCAGAGCCGCCUGCAAUAAGGUCUGGCUGAGAAUGGGCAGUGGCUGCGCCAGCUCUGGGUGCGUCUUCUCUGCUCAUUCUUUCCACAGCCAAAUUCAGUUUCUAAUUUACACACUCCACAUCCAUCCCUAGACCUUGCUGUGACAGGGGACAGAGUCCUGUCUCUUCUUAGGGAGACCUUUCCAUAACCACAGGACCCUCUCUGAUGUUCGCCUCAAGCUCUGUUUUCCUCUGUCACCAAAUGUCCCUUCCAUUAACCCAAAGGCCCUGUCUCUUCUCCCAAUCCUUUAAAAGUGAUCUCAGAAAGCUACUGAUUCUCUCCCCAUGAAUCCCAGCGAAAACCCCCAUAAAAUCUCGUUUUUCUUCCUUUCU